rnacentral:rRNA from 1 species
AUACGGAGGGUGCAAGCGUUAAUCGGAAUUACUGGGCGUAAAGGGCGCGUAGGCGGUCUAUCAAGUCAGGUGUGAAAUCCCACGGCUCAACCGUGGAGGUGCAUCUGAAACUGAUAGACUUGAGUAUGGGAGAGGAAAGUGGAAUUCCCGGUGUAGAGGUGAAAUUCGUAGAUAUCGGGAGGAACACCAGUGGCGAAGGCGACUUUCUGGACCAAUACUGACGCUGAGGCGCGAAAGCGUGGGGAGCAAACAGGAUUAGAUACCCCAGUAGUCC